AGUGAACGCUGGCGGUAUGCCUAAUACAUGCAAGUCGAGCGGCAACACAAGGAGAUUUCUCUCUUACGGUUGGCGAGUGGCGGACGGGUGAGGCAUGGAUAGGCAUCUUCUUAUUCGUGGGGGAUAACGGGAGAAAACUGACACUAAUAGCUCAUAUGUUCUACGGGUUGAUGCAGUAGUGCAUCGGACCUUUGCUGACUCAUUUAGCCGGAUCCGGGUCGCAUUAGCUAGUUGGUAAGGUAACGGCUCACCAAGGCGACGAUGCGUAGCUGACCUGAGAGGAUGAUCAGCCACACUGGAACUGAGACACGGUCCAGACUCCUACGGGAGGCAGCAGUGGGGAAUAUUGCACAAUGGGCGCAAGCCUGAUGCAGCCAUGCCGCGUGAGUGAAGAAGGCCUUCGGGUUGUAAAGCUCUUUUAUUGGGAAAGAACAGAUGUAGAAUUAUCCCUGGACGUUUUGACGGUACCCAAACAAUAAGCCACGGCUAACUUCGUG
rnacentral:rRNA from 1 species